rnacentral:rRNA from 1 species
UACAGAGGUGGCAAGCGUUGUUCGGAAUUACUGGGCGUAAAGGGCGCGUAGGCGGCCCGUCAAGUCCCGUGUGAAAGCCCCCGGCUCAACCGGGGAACUGCACGGGAAACUAGCAGGCUUGAGUUCGGGAGAGGGAAGCGGAAUUUCGGGUGUAGCGGUGAAAUGCGCAGAUAUCCGAAGGAACACCGGUGGCGAAGGCGGCUUCCUGGGCCAACACUGACGCUCAUGCACGAAAGCGUGGGGAGCAAACAGG